rnacentral:snRNA from 1 species
AUACUUACCUGGCAGGGGAGAUAUCAUGAUCAUGAAGGUAGCUUUCUCGGGGUGAGGUUUAUCCAUUGAUCACCCCUGUGAUUUCCCAAAUGUUCAUACUCAUAGAUCUAAAAUGAAUUACAGAGUCAUUGUGAAUC